rnacentral:rRNA from 1 species
GACGAACGCUGGCGGCGUGCUUAACACAUGCAAGUGGAGCGACGAACCGGGGCUUGCCCCGGGGCAGAGCCGCGAACGGGUGAGUAACACGUGGGUUACCUACCCCGAUGACCGGGACAUCCCGAGGAAACUCGGGCUAAUACCGGAUGUGGUCUUCGGACGAAAGGAAGCUUCGGCCUCCGCAUCGGGAUGGGCCCGCGGCGCAUUAGCUUGUUGGUGGGGUAACGGCCUACCAAGGCGACGAUGCGUAGCUGGUCUGAGAGGACGAUCAGCCACACUGGGACUGAGACACGGCCCAGACUCCGACGGGAGGCAGCAGUGGGGAAUCUUGCGCAAUGCGCGAAAGCGUGACGCAGCAACGCCGCGUGGGGGAAGAAGGCCUUCGGGUUGUAAACCUCUUUCAGUUGGGACGAAGCCUUACGGGUUAAUAGCCCGUGGAGGUGACGGUACCUUCAGAAGAAGCCCCGGCUAACUACGUGCCAGCAGCCGCGGUAACAC